UGGGUAGCACCGUGAGAAUCCUGUUAUUUACCGCUGCGCUGCUGAUCGAUGCCUUUGGGCAACAAACAUCCUUUUUUGACCAGCCUCCGAGUGAUUACUAUCGAAGAACAUCAAUGAAUGAUUGCCCUACACGGUUCUAUUCAGAUCCAGAAAAAUUGAAUCUAACACACUUUGUUUACAAUGGCUUUCGCGUGUACCGUGGCGAAUUCCAGCACAUGGUGGCCAUCGGAUGGGUUCGGGUCAGUGGAAACAUUGAUUAUCUUUGUGGUGGAUCGCUGAUAACCGAUGACUUCGUACUGACUGCAGCCCAUU